UAACAAUGUUUUUCCAAACAUUUUUUUUUAUUAAUUUACAUCAUUUUCAACUAAUUUAAAAACCUUUAUUACAGCGAACAAAGCCGAUCACAGUAGAGAUUGAUUAAUAGCUGAACAGCAAUUACAUUGUGAAAUUUUACAACUUUGCACUAUAAAUUCUCAAAUAUAUUCACGGAAUCCGUAUAAUCUUCUCUUCUGCGUUCGUUUCACAAACUGUAGGUCGCUGACAUGUGUAAAAAUUCUGCAUUGCAAUCAAUACCCACAGCAAACGUGCAGCGGAGAUAGCUUUCCGUAGUGACGUGAAAAACACCUAAGGAAGGUCAUAAAGUAACUGCUAGGGUGGGCUGGAGUGAUUUGGGAUGGGCCAUGGAAAAUCUUUGGCAGUUUCGAUGGGUCACCAAUUUUUUUGUAUGUCCACGGUUGGGCCACCAAACAAAAACUCAUGCAUGUCUACUUCAAAAAUAAAGAUAUUAAUAAUAAAAGUAUAAACAAAACUAUCCAAAUUAUCAAAUGCAAAUGAUGCUAUUGAAGCCAGUACUUUGUUUAUACAACAACAAGAACUGGUCGAAUCACGGCAAAUACAACCAACUGGAGAGCAGCUCAGUAUCGUAAUUGGUGAUGAAUGUGUUGGUCAAGCUUGGUGAAAUUAUGUACAGUGUAUGUCAAUACAGUGCCGGUGUAUAUUUACAAUGUUCAUACCUGCAAGUUUUUUUAUUAUUAUAAAAGUGUAUUUUCCCAAUUUAAAUUGGGUGGGUCAUGAAAAUUUUUUUUGUAAGAUUAGAUGGGCUUUGAAAUUUUUAUCUUCAUCCGAAGAUGGCUCACCAAACUUAUUGGCAAAAUUUGUGAUUUACCUCCAGCCCACCCUAGCAGUUACUUUAUGACCAGUCCCUAAUCACCUAUCCGUACAGGUUUUAGGAACGCUAUUUUCAGAGGAAUUAUUGCCAAGGAGAGAUGUUGUUUCGCUCAGCUUCGGAAAGUUGUACAUUUCGUAUCGGAUAGAUGCUUUUUCGCGCCACUACGGAGCCGGAGUGCUAUUCUGUAUAGUGUAACGUAGCCUAUGUAAAACAGUAGUGUCUGGUGGACUCAGUCCAUUUAAUUCAAUUUCUGGAAAGCAUUAACGCACUAUAUUCUUCAGAUUCCACAAUAGUUUUAUGUGCUUUUAAAGUGCAUCAAUGGCUGCCCAAAGGCACAUUCUAGAUCUUCAUUUUCAUUGAAAUUUUUUGUUAUGGUUAUGUGCAUAAUAUAAUCACACCAUGGCCAUUUCUGGUUCGUAAGUGUGUGGCGUAAAUUUCAGCGAACGAGCUGUCUGUCUGUAAACGAAUUGUCUUGCUUGUUCCGUCAAAUAUUUCUGAUCUUCCGUCUGACCACACGCCACUUCUUGAAAGGACUACAUUAAAAAAACGUUUGAAGGUUAAAUCAAUGGAU